rnacentral:lncRNA from 1 species
AAAGAGAGAGAGAGAAUAGUCGAAAGAGAAGAAAGCAUAAGCCACACAGGAGCAGAACAAAAGAAGAAGAAAAGGGUGUUUGGUGGCUUCAAACUGAGAGAAAUCAAAUCGUAGCCGUUGAAUCGUAUUUCUCUCAAUCAGACGGUUUACAUCUCUGUAUUGAUAUCUUCUUUCUCAGGUGGUGAAGAUAAAGAAAGGCGGUGUACUGGUUGCCGUAAAAAGAGAGACAGAGGCGUGAUCUCUCAGAUCUGGCCGUUUG